rnacentral:rRNA from 1 species
UACGGAGGGUGCAAGCGUUAAUCGGAAUUACUGGGCGUAAAGCGAGUGUAGGUGGCUAUGUAAGUCGGAUGUGAAAUCCCCGGGCUCAACCUGGGAACUGCAUUCGAUACUGCAUGGCUAGAGUCUGAUAGAGGGAAGUGGAAUUCCAAGUGUAGCGGUGAAAUGCGUAGAUAUCUGGAAGAACACCAGUGGCGAAGGCGGCUUCCUGGAUCAAGACUGACACUGAGGCUCGAAAGCGUGGGGAGCAAACAGG